rnacentral:piRNA from 1 species
UUCAAUGAUGGGACUGUUAUCAUUUCUUUG